rnacentral:rRNA from 1 species
GCCAGACUCUACGGGAGGCAGCAGUGGGGGAUAUUGCACAAUGGGGGAAACCCUGAUGCAGCGACGCCGCGUGGGUGAAGAAGCGCCUCGGCGCGUAAAGCCCUGUCAGCAGGGAAGAAAAUGACGGUACCUGAAGAAGAAGCCCCGGCUAACUACGUGCCAGCAGCCGCGGUAAUACGUAGGGGGCAAGCGUUAUCCGGAUUUACUGGGUGUAAAGGGAGCGUAGACGGCGGUGCAAGCCAGAUGUGAAAGCCCGGGGCUCAACCCCGGGACUGCAUUUGGAACUGUGCUGCUAGAGUGUCGGAGAGGCAGGCGGAAUUCCUAGUGUAGCGGUGAAAUGCGUAGAUAUUAGGAGGAACACCAGUGGCGAAGGCGGCCUGCUGGACGAUGACUGACGUUGAGGCUCGAAAGCGUGGGGAGCAAACAGGAUUAGAUACCCGGGUAGA